ACGCACGCUGGCGGCGUGCUUAACACCUGCAAGUCGAACGGAAAGGCCCUGCUUUUGUGGGGUGCUCGAGUGGCGAACGGGUGAGUAACACGUGAGUAACCUGCCCUUGACUUUGGGAUAACUUCAGGAAACUGGGGCUAAUACCGGAUAGGAGCUCCUGCUGCAUGGUGGGGGUUGGAAAGUUUCGGCGGUUGGGGAUGGACUCGCGGCUUAUCAGCUUGUUGGUGGGGUAGUGGCUUACCAAGGCUUUGACGGGUAGCCGGCCUGAGAGGGUGACCGGCCACAUUGGGACUGAGAUACGGCCCAGACUCCUACGGGAGGCAGCAGUGGGGAAUAUUGCACAAUGGGCGGAAGCUUGAUGCAGCAACGCCGCGUGCGGGAUGACGGCCUUCGGGUUGUAAACCGCUUUCGCCUGUGACGAAGCGUGAGUGACGGUAAUGGGUAAAGAAGCACCGGCUAACUACGUG
rnacentral:rRNA from 1 species